rnacentral:tRNA from 1 species
GGGCCCGUAGCUUAGCCAGGUAGAGCGACGGGCUCUUAACCGCCGAGAGGCACCCGUAGGUCCCGGGUUCGAAUCCCGGCGGGCCCG